rnacentral:rRNA from 1 species
CACCGCGGUUAUACGAGAGGCUCAAGUUGACAGACAACGGCGUAAAGUGUGGUUAAGGAACUUUAUUUAACUAAAGCGGAACCUCCUCAUGGCUGUUAUACGCUCUUCGAGGAAGUGAACCCCAACUACGAAAGUGGCUUUAUUUACCCUGAACCCACGAAAGCUAAGAAA